GUAGGUGGCAAGCGUUGUCCGGAAUUAUUGGGGUGUAAAGCGCGCGCAGGCGGUUCUUUAAGUCUGAUGUGAAAGCCCACGGGCUCAACCGUGGAGGGUCAUUGGAAACUGGAGAACUUGAGUACAGAAGAGGAAAGCGGAAUUCCACGUGUAGCGGUGAAAUGCGUAGAGAUGUGGAGGAACACCAGUGGCGAAGGCGGCUUUCUGGUCUGUAACUGACGCUGAGGCGCGAAAGCGUGGGGAGCAAACAGGAUUAGAUACCCUGGUAGUCCACGCCGUAAACGAUGAGUGCUAAGUGUUAGGGGGUUUCCGCCCCUUAGUGCUGCAGCUAACGCAUUAAGCACUCCGCCUGGGGAGUACGACCGCAAGGUUG
rnacentral:rRNA from 1 species